CUCAAGUUACUUGUUCACGAUUCAAUGUUCAGUCUUCAUUUCACGUUUCAAUAGGUGGUUGCUUGGUCAAAACCUCCUGAGCAGAAGAUGGUGCGAAAUAUAGCAAUUUUAUUUAUAGUCCAUAUAUGUAUUGUUCAGAAAGUCCUGUCAUCUGCUCAUCAGGAUUCUUCUGAAUCCAUUAAUCUCAAAUGGCCACCAAAAAUUAGGCCUCUUCUCGAACUGCGAGAUGCUGACUUCUCUCCAACUAAGUCUUCAUCUUCUGUUGGUCCUGUCACACCAUCGAUAGAACCAUCAUCGUCUAUUGGUCCAUUAGAACCCUCAGACUCAGUUCUCCCGUCUAUAGAACCAUCAUCGUCUGUUGGUCCAUUGGAACCCUCAGAAUCAGUUCUCCCGUCUAUAGAACCAUCAUCGUCUAUUGGUCCAUUGGAACCCUCAGAAUCAGUUCUCCCGUCUAUAAAACCAGCACCGUCUAUUGGUCCAUUGGAACCCUCAGAAUCAGUUCUCCCGUCUAUAGAACCAUCAUCGUCUAUUGGUCCAUUGGAGCCCUCAGAAUCAGUUCUCCCGUCUAUAGAACCAUCAUCGUCUAUUGGUCCAUUGGAACCUUCAGAAUCAGUUCUCCCGUCUAUAGAACCAUCAUCGUCUAUUGGUCCAUUGGAACCUUCAGAAUCAGUUCUCCCGUCUAUAGAACCAUCAUCGUCUAUUGGUCCAUUGGAACCCUCAGAAUCAGUUCUCCCGUCUAUAGAACCAUCAUCGUCUAUUGGUCCAUUGGAACCUUCAGAAUCAGUUCUCCGUCUAUAGAACCAUCAUCGUCUAUUGGUCCAUUGGAACCCUCAGAAUCAGUUCUCCCGUCUAUAGAACCAUCAUCGUCUAUUGGUCCAUUGGAACCCUCAGAAUCAGUUCUCCCGUCUAUAGAACCAUCAUCGUCUAUUGGUCCAUUGGAACCCUCACAAUCAGUUCCUCCGUCAACCCAGGUCGUUCACAAUAAUAACAUCCACAUCUACGAGGAUAAGAAACCAUGUUUAGUGGCCACACUUGCAAUAAAUUUUGAAGUUAUUUAUUCUUCUGAGGAGGGAGAAAAAAAAACAAACAUACCGUUAAAUUGUAAAGAAAAUUAUACAAUUGUGGAUGGAGACUGUAGUUUUCACGACGAUUAUGCUUAUUUUAAAAUCAAGUGGAACGAUGCCGGUAUAAACAUCAAUCCUAAACAUCAAUUUGAAAUGCAUUUCAAGCGUAAUUCAACAAAUUGGUCUGUACCAUCAAUCAAAGCUACAUUCGACACUGAUGAUAGUCUUCAUUUUGAUAAUCCUAAUGAAAAAGAAAUAAAAGUUGAAACUAACGGCUUUGGUAUAAUUGGUACUGUUGAUAAAGAUGUUAAUUAUAUUUGUCUUUCCCUUGUGACUUAUAAUAUAAGUACUAAAGUCAAAGCAGCAUUUCAAAACGUUGCCAUUCAACCAUUCUCAAAUGAUCCUCAACUAUCUUACGAAGGAAAACAUUGUUUGGAGGAUGCGCUACCUUAUGAAAACUUUGUCAAGAAUCAAGCCGACGGCGAUCGGAAAAAGAAUAGAAACAGCAAUACAGUACCUAUAGCUGUCGGAGCAGCACUUGGAGGAGUGGUACUUAUUGUGCUUGUUUCGUACAUCAUUGGUCGAAGUCGAUCCAAUCCCGGAUAUGAACGAGUUUUUUGAUCACAUCUUAUUGACUAAAAUGUCUUUUUCAAAUACAACGACAUCUUUGUGGGGAAUUUGUUGUUUUAAGUAAUAAUCAAUUGAUUAAAGGAUUGCACAAUUUAAGUUUAUUUUUCUUCCUAACACUCAACAUUAAAACUGAUUUAGUGUUAUGUAUGGUAAUCAGAAACUUCCGGGAAUGGUAUUUUCGUUAAAGUUACUCAUGUAUCUUGAUAUUAUCAAAAAAUAAAUAAAGUUAAAGUGAA